UACAGAGGUCUCAAGCGUUGUUCGGAUUCAUUGGGCGUAAAGAGCGUGUAGGCGGUCCGGUAAGUCAGCUGUGAAAGUCAAGGGCUCAACCCUUGAAAGCCGGUUGAUACUGUCGGGCUAGAGUCCGGAAGAGGCGAGUGGAAUUCCCGGUGUAGCGGUGAAAUGCGCAGAUAUCGGGAGGAACACCAAUGGCGAAGGCAGCUCGCUGGGACGGUACUGACGCUGAGACGCGAAAGCGUGGGGAGCAAACAGG
rnacentral:rRNA from 1 species